GAUGAACGCUGGCGGCGUGCUUAACACAUGCAAGUCGAACGGUGAAGGCGGAGCUUGCUCUGCUGGAUCAGUGGCGAACGGGUGAGUAACACGUGAGCAAUCUGCCCCUGACUCUGGGAUAAGCGCUGGAAACGGCGUCUAAUACUGGAUACGAGCUGCGAAGGCAUCUUCAGCAGCUGGAAAGAAUUUCGGUCAGGGAUGAGCUCGCGGCCUAUCAGCUUGUUGGUGAGGUAAUGGCUCACCAAGGCGUCGACGGGUAGCCGGCCUGAGAGGGUGACCGGCCACACUGGGACUGAGACACGGCCCAGACUCCUACGGGAGGCAGCAGUGGGGAAUAUUGCACAAUGGGCGGAAGCCUGAUGCAGCAACGCCGCGUGAGGGACGACGGCCUUCGGGUUGUAAACCUCUUUUAGCAGGGAAGAAGCGAGAGUGACGGUACCUGCAGAAAAAGCGCCGGCUAACUACGUG
rnacentral:rRNA from 1 species